UCCUGGUUUUUUGGUGGCUACCUCAUACUUUCUAUCUUGUUCAAUCAAUCCAUUCCCUUUUACUUUUCUUGGCCUACCCAUAGGGAAUAACCCAUGCAAGCAAAGUUACUGGGAUCUGGUAUUAUUAAAGCUCCGUAAUAGGCUUGCAAAUUGGAAAGGAAAAUGAUUAUCUUUGGGAGGAAGAUUCACACAUCUGAAUUCUAUUUUAAAUACCAUACAUCUCUUCUACCUACCAUUCUACAAAGCGCCAAAAGUAAUAUUCCAAGACAUUAUCAAGAUCUAAUGAGCCUUUCUAUGGAAUGGGGAAGAACGUAAGAAGAAAGUUAAUUGGGUUUCCUGGAAUCUAUUUGUAAACCAAAGUGGUAGGGUGGCUUUGGACUAAAAGAAUGUGAAACCUUCAACAAGACUCUUUUAAGUAAGUUGGCUUGGAAAUUUGUCUCGAAUGAGGUUUCAAAAUCGGUAUGGAAUUCUCUAUUUGUGUCCAAAUAUGGGGACAUCAAGGGUUUGGUCUUAGACACCUUGUGGCCGGUUAACACGCGCAGAUGGUCUAUUUGACGGAGACAUAAAAUUUGUGUGAGGAUUUAUGGCAGAGACUCUAAUUAGUUUUGCAAUAGCGUGUCAUAUUAACAAGAUCAAGAUUUGCAAUUCUGGUUUUUGGAGCGAUGGUAUUUGGAGUUGGAACAUUCAUUUAACACCAACAACAUUAUCUGUUGCAGCUGCUCUAGAAUGGGAAGAUCUUCAAUGCAUCCGAUGUGUUUGUUUGGUGGCCCAAUUUAGACAGCUUUUGUGUCAAAUUAGCAUUCUCUCGAUUGCAAGCUCUGUCAUGGAGAUGCUCCCCUAUUACUCCGGAUCUCUCUUUUGUCCUUAGAAAUUUGUGGAAGUCAAAUGUUCCCUUAAAUGUACAAGUGUUCACUUGGAGGCUUUUUUCAACCAUCUUCAAACUAAAGAUGAACCCACGAAGCGUGAUAUCAUCUUCGAGCCUAAUAACACGGUAAUGCCUUUUUGCUUUGGUGAAAUUGAAUCUCAUCACCAUCUGUUUCUGUUA